UUUCUCCCAAAAUUGGUAUGUUAAAUCUGGUUCUGCUGCUGGUUGUGGCAUAUUUGUCUUGUGACAUGUGGGUGAAGCUGGCCAAGUGGGUUCCAAAGAAUAAGACUUGAAAUGAGUUGUUACCCCUGCACACCACUGACUCUUGCUCCUUUUCUAGAGCUGUCAUGGUCAUAUUAUCAAGGUCAUAUUAUCAUUAUACCUCUUCCAUGUCAGUCCAACCAAGUUUAAUCCCUUGAAAUGAAAAAGCCAAGUUUACUCCCUUGGCAUUGAAAAUCAGGUUAACUUCCAUGAAGUUUUGUCUCGGACUAUAACAGAUGUAGCUGUUUUUAAGCCUGCUGCCUUUGGCUAAGCAUUCCCAGUAUAGCCAGGUGUGUUCCUAAGUGAUUGUAACAGGUUUCCUGUGGAAGCAAGACUAAGGAUGGCAAUCAGUAAAAUAAUGCUCAGCAGUCUGAAUAGACUUUGCACUUGUCAUUAUAAAACUUGGUCAAAAAAUUCUAGCAUGGAAUUUGAAAUCACAUUUUUCACUAUUUCUUCUAAAACUGUUAUGUGUAGGCUGAGUGCUGUGAUUAGAAAACUAAAUGCUGGGGUCAGGCAAUACAAAAUCAGACAACAUUCCUUCCUUAGUUUCUUCUUUGUCAGAAAUGUUUAAUUUCUUCAUUUGAUAUUGCUGUAUAAGCUGUAGCCUGUUGAAAUCCUAACUGUAACUCUGAGGACAGUGUGGGUGCCACAGUAACUUCAGGUUUUCUUCUAGGAAAAAAAAGAAAUCCUUUUCAGGGUGGCUUUUCUGGUAUCCUACACAUUCAGAACUUUGUUGUUGCUGUUGGCUCUUUCCCAAGACCUCAAAACUGUUAUUAUUGUGUGGCUAACCCUGAAAGUAAAGCCUGUUCAUAGUUUAAGGCAGAAUCAAGUCAGCACAGCAAUAAUAAGUGGGUGUUUGAAUUACAUUAUUUCUGUGACUUUUCCAUAAUACUUUGCCUUUUAGGAGUGGAGGUCUAGAGACUUUCAUGAGAAUAACAAGCAGUUUGGAAAGGAUCUCUAGGAAUCUCUUGCAUGAGAUAUACAAAAUUAGUAAAUGUUCAUAGGAAACAUUUUGGAAACAUUAACCAUGAGCAAUAUAUUAGUGCUAAAAGGAAAUAUUUGCUAUUGUCUUUUUUUAGGAGUUGGUGAAAAACCAAAUUCUGGUCUAAGACUACAGUCCUUUUCAAACCAGAUAGGCUGCACAUUCCUAAAAUUGUAAAUUCCUAGGUUACACAAGAUUUAUCAGCAAUCCAGUGGAAAUGAGUCUAAAUCAUGCUCUACUUAUAUGAAUAACGUUACUGAAGUGACACAAAUAACGGAGGCCCUGUAUACUCCCAUUGGAAUCUGUUCUCCCACUGAAAUUGAAUGGAGAUGCUAUUUGUCUGAAUAGAGAGUCUGAUUUUAGGAGUUUGUUAAUUCUUUGAUAAGAGGGCAACAACAGCUAAACAUAUGGCAAAUCAUUUUUAUUUUUUUUGCUAUCAAAUAGUGGAUUGGAUUGCAUGCUGAAAACCUCAGUAAGCUGGAGAGAUGAAUCACCAGGAACAUGCCAAAACUGGAAUGAAGGGAGAGAAAGAGAUCAGCAGAAACCAGGGAAAAGAUGUGGCUUCAUUUCAUCACAAACAGGUUUAUUUUAUAUUUCCUUUUGCUGCCAGAGUUGAGACUUGAUUCUGUUGUUGGCCAAAGAGGUUAUAUAUUAAUUGCUCUCAAGAAGUGCAAUCCAUACUCAAGUCCUGUUACAUGGUUAUAAUUUGCAUAACUGUUUUUAUGAUUAAGAAUAGAGAAAUAUCAUUAAUAUGCUCAGAGACUAGUUUGUAGGACUUAAAAGUAUAUUGGUAGUUCCAGCUCUCUAAUGUCAAAAUACAAAGAUUCCAGUGAUACUGAUACUUUAGUUUUACUUAAGAAUCUGUUAUGUGGCAGAGCAAAAAUGUUAAUGCGUUGCUGGUUUUCACAGUUAGUUUUCUCAUAACCAAAUGAGCCAGAUGGACUGAGCAACAAUAUUUCCUACAUUUAUAAACUGUUUUUUCUACAAGCAUACAACUUCAAAUACCCAGGUUUCUAGCUUAUUUCUGAUCCCAUAGCCAAUCUGCUGAGGGAUUUUGGGGUACUGUGGUUUUGGUGCUAACAUUUACAUCAUCACAUAGCUCUAUAUUUUACUAUGGUAAUAGUAAUAAUAGCAACAAUAAUAGUAAUAAAUACAGUGCUGGUGGUUCCAGUGAUUUCUGUCAUCUCACAGUCUCUGAAGAUCUGCAAGUCAUAUGACAAAGUAAACAUAUCAGGUUCCAUGAAAAUAAAAAAUAACCAGCUUUUUGUUUGUGAGAAAAGCCGAAGAAAACUAAUCCAGCUGCACACUUGUGAUCUCAGCCUUGAAAACCAAAAUGGAAAAAAAAAAAGUAAAACUCUUUUUCUGCACAUAAUCUUGGGGGUUUGAUUCAUGACUUUCAAAUUCUUGAGUUUGGUGUUACUAGAGUUAGUAUUAAAGGAAGAGACGCCCACCCUCGCCCCUCAGCUGAACAGUAGAUGGGAGCUGGUCAAUAGCUUGUUGAGCGCACUGAAAAAUGUCUUUUCCUCCUUAGCAGGUCAGCGUUUUAUGUCAGUACCUGGAUCUUGCCAAAAAUCUUCAAUCUUUUGGAUACAAAUUCUGAAGGACCCAGAGCUUCUAAAAAACCAGUACAUUGCACAAGCAUUCUGCAGUACCUAUCAUAGGUCAGUUCCUCCCUCAAAGAUGAAUUGCAACAAGGUAGAGUACUGAAAAUAUUGCUAAAUAAAUAAAAUUUCAUCUUCAUUAGGAUGAUAAAGUUUCAUCUUGGAUAGCAAUUUAGGAAAAAAUGUUAUUCAGAUCCUACUUAUGGUUCCACUGCUUUAAACAAAUUAGUGUUUCUCUUUCCCAGAUUCCCAAGAUGUAAAGGUUCAAAUAUUCACUGAGCUAUCUGACAGGUACGUUUUGAGGAGUAAUUAUAAUUUCUUUUGUGCUUACUAUCAUGCAUUAGAAAUAUAAAACCAUAAUGGAAUACCCAUU